GAUGAAGAACGUAGCGAAAUGCGAUAAGUAAUGCGAAUUGCAGAAUUUCCGUGAGUCAUCGAAUCUUUGAACGCACAUUGCGCCCGCCAGCAUUCUGGCGGGCAUGCCUGUUCGAGCGUCAUUUCAACCCUCGACCUCCCUUUGGGGAAGUCGGCGUUGGGGACCGGCAGCACACCGCCGGCCCUGAAAUGGAGUGGCGGCCCGUCCGCGGCGACCUCUGCGUAGUAAACCAACUCGCACCGGAACCCCGACGUGGCCACGCCGUAAAACACCCAACUUCUGAACGUUGACCUCGAAUCAGGUAGGACUACCCGCUGAACUUAAGCAUAUCAAUAAGCGGAGGA
rnacentral:misc_RNA from 1 species